CACGCAUGACACACUGCAUAUCAAUAAGCGGAGGAAAAGAAUACUAACAAGGAUUCCCUUAGUAACGGCGAGUGAAGCGGGAAGAGCUCAAAUUUGAAAUCUUCAAGGUUCUACCUUGACGAAUUGUAGUUUAUAGAAGUGUUUUCUGUUAGUGGAGUGGCAAAAGUUCUUUGGAAUAGGACAUCAUAGAGGGUGAGAAUCCCGUAUUUGGUCAUUCCUCCUAGCGUUGUGAUACACUUUCAACGAGUCGGAUUGUUUGGGAAUGCAGUCCAAAAUGGGUGGUAAAUUUCAUCUAAAGCUAAAUAUUGGCGAUGAGACCGAUAGCGAACAAGUACCGUGAGGGAAAGAUGAAAAGAACUUUGAAAAGAGAGUUAAACAGUACGUGAAAUUGUCAAAAGGGAAGCGUUUGACACCAGUGUUGUUUUUCCGAAAAUCAAUUACGAAUGUUUUAGUUUUUGAGAAGUUAUGACUUCAUCGGCUUGCUUCUCUCUUUAUGAAACUUUCUUAAUGCACUUUUCGGUUAACAAGUCAACAUCAAUUUCUUUUGUUGUAAAAGGGUAUGAGGAAGGUGGCUUUCUUUUCGGAGAAAGUGUUUAUAGCCUUGUACCUCUGCAAUCGGAGAGAUUGAGGUCUGCAGCGUAGAUCCUUCGGGGUUAGAUACAUUUGUGCUAAGUUAUAGCUUUUCAUAGACAACUUGUUGACUAUGUUAAGUCUUGUAGCUUACUCGCUUAUGCUAUUUUACCUACGCUUAGGAUGUUGACGAGACUGUCGAUCUC
rnacentral:rRNA from 1 species